AUUGAACGCUGGCGGCAUGCCUUACACAUGCAAGUCGAACGGUAACGGGCCUUCGGGUGCCGACGAGUGGCGAACGGGUGAGUAAUGCAUCGGAACGUACCUUUCAGUGGGGGAUAACGUAGCGAAAGUUACGCUAAUACCGCAUAUUCUGUGAGCAGGAAAGCAGGGGAUCGCAAGACCUUGCGCUGAUUGAGCGGCCGAUGUCAGAUUAGCUAGUUGGUGAGGUGAAGGCUCACCAAGGCGACGAUCUGUAGCGGGUCUGAGAGGAUGAUCCGCCACACUGGAACUGAGACACGGUCCAGACUCCUACGGGAGGCAGCAGUGGGGAAUUUUGGACAAUGGGGGCAACCCUGAUCCAGCCAUGCCGCGUGAGUGAAGAAGGCCU
rnacentral:rRNA from 1 species